rnacentral:rRNA from 1 species
GACGAACGCUGGCGGCGUGCCUAAUACAUGCAAGUAGAACGCACAGUUUAUACCGUAGCUUGCUACACCAUAGACUGUGAGUUGCGAACGGGUGAGUAACGCGUAGGUAACCUGCCUGGUAGCGGGGGAUAACUAUUGGAAACGAUAGCUAAUACCGCAUAAUAUUAAUUAUUGCAUGAUAAUUAAUUGAAAGGUGCAAUUGCACCACUACCAGAUGGACCUGCGUUGUAUUAGCUAGUAGGUGAGGUAACGGCUCACCUAGGCGACGAUACAUAGCCGAACGGAGAGGGUGGUCGGCCGCCCUGGGACUGAGACACGGCCCAGAGUCCUACGGGAGGCAGCAGUAGGGAAUCUUCGGGAAUGGACGAAAGUCUGACCGAGCAACGCCGCGUGAGUGAAGAAGGUUUUCGGAUCGUAAAGCUCUGUUGUAAGAGAAGAACGGGUGUGAGAGUGGAAAGUUCACACUGUGACGGUAUCUGACCAGAAAGGGACGGCUAACUACGUG